rnacentral:misc_RNA from 1 species
GUUCAUAACCCUUUGUUGUCCGACUCUGUUGCCUCCGGGGCGACCCUGCCUUCGGGCGGGGGCUCCGGGUGGACACUUCAAACUCUUGCGUAACUUUGCAGUCUGAGUAAACUUAAUCAAUAAAUUAAAACUUUUAACAACGGAUCUCUUGGUUCUGGCAUCGAUAAGAACGC